rnacentral:lncRNA from 1 species
CGAUUCAGACGGCCAUCGCCAAGUUCCCCAGCAAAGCAUCAUCCUUCCUCCUAACAGCACCAUUGCUGCCGUAGCUGAUGCCCUGGAGAAGAAUGCUCAUAAUUGGUACGGUACAAACAAACAAGUAGUAACACUACUAAACUUAAAAAGCUCCCUUUUUUACUGUGAUCUACAUAGUUCAUUCAUACUAUUGUGUCUUUUUGUUUAAUGAUCCAAACCUGUGCAGGCCUAUAACUCCCCAACUCCCAACAGAUCUAUCGGUUCAAAUCCAAGAUGCUACUUUCACUGUUCACAAGGUACUUCCCUCUCAAACUAUAAAGAGUUAGCAGCAAAUCACAGGCUAUGUAUUUAUGGGUAAAGCUUCAGUACAUGCGGGUACUCAGUACUCUAUAUCAUACUUUUAACAUAUUUCGUGCUUAAAAUUAACAGUAUAGUUUAGUGUUUAGAGUUUAGUACCCGCAUGUACCGGAGCGCUUGCCAUGUAUUCAUACCCAGCAUUUGUAUAUCUCAGUUCCUACAAUCAUAUAACUAGGAUCAAUACUUAGAUCAUGAUUUUGAACAGAGUAACCAAAUUUAGGACAGGUUAUUUAGCCCUUAUCCUCCUGUGUGGCUUAACAUAUUAGAUCAUGAAUCAAAACUUGGACUUGAGCAGUUCAUGAAGAAAAAAAAAUUAAUGCUUGAGCAAUCUGUGGUCUGCUACAGUUACCUUUGGUGUCGAAAUGCGGCUACAUAGCACAUUUGGAACUCCAGCCUUCAAUUUCAAACUUCAGCUAUGAAGUGAAGCUGGAAAACUUCCCAGGAGGAUCAGAGACAUUCGAAGCCGUCUUGAGAUUCUGCUACGGCCUCCCUCUAGAUUUAAACCCUCAGAACAUAGCUCCA